CAUUCGGUAAAGCAGCAGGAUUAUUUUCAUUGGAAGGUUAGACAGUUGAAAGAAAUUUCCAGUGAAAAAAAUACAUGGCUCCAGGGUGUAAAUGGACGAGAUGGAUACGGCGGAGAAAAACUUCGCUACCAGAGUAGAGCGCUUGAAUCACUGACCGAGUUAUACCACCUGACUCAUCAAAAGAAUCAAAUGGUGAUACGGCGUAAGUGGCUCAACCUACUAACGCCACUGUCAUUAGCAGUAUGGUGGUUAGAUGAUGGCUCAAUUAUUACCAAUGGUAGGCGAGGAGUUCUCUGCACUGACUCGUUUUCACAUGAAGCGCAGAAAUUACUGAAACAAUAUCUCGAAAAAGUUUGGAACAUCAGUGUUAGCAUAGGCAAAAUUCGGCGAUAUCGUGAAAGUAAAGAGGUGACUUAUUAUCGAUUAUGGAUUCGAUCGAGCGAGCAGUUGCAGAAAUUGCUACGCAUCAUCCUGCCAUAUGUGCAGGUAGAGUCUAUGCUUCCUAAAGUGAUACUGUUAUAUAGUGAUUCCCAAUUGCAACAACGCUGGAUUUCUGAAGUGAGUAAGUUUUCCGGAUUUUCAGAAACCGUAGUAGAGAAGUACGCUACGGCAAAGAAAGCCAAAUGGAAACGCUUCAGAAAGUGAUAUAGUCCGAUCCUCUGGGUAACCAGAGUACAAUUACACGUGACCCGUGUAGUCCAGGCCCUAAACGAUGUCGACUAGUCAUGUGGAGUGUCGACCCUCCACGUGGCGUAGCUAACGCGUUAAGUCGACCGCCUGGGAAUUACGAUCGCAAGAUUAAAACUCAAAGGAAUAGACGGGGACCCGUACAACCGGUGGAGCGUCUGGUUUAAUUCGACAAUAAGCGAAGAACCUUACCACGGCUUGACAUGCUCUAGAAAGCUUCUGGAAACAGGAGCCCUCCUUACGGACUGGAAGCACAGGUGCUGCAUGGUUGUCGUCAGCUCGUAUCGUGAGACGUUCCGUUAAGUCGGGUAACGAGCGCUACCCCUGCUGUCUGUUAUAAGUGUCAGACAGGACUGCCGACUCUACGUCGGAGGAAGGCGGGGAUGACGUCAAAUCAGCAUGGCCCUUACGUCGUGGGCGACACAGGCGCUACAAUGGGUGGGACAAUGGGUUGCCAAACCGCAAGGUGGAGCUAAUCCCAUCAAACCCAUCCUCAGUUCAGAUUGGGGUCUGCAAUUCGACCCCAUGAAGUCGGAAUCGGUAGUAAUCGCGGAUCAGCCACGCCGCGGUGAAUACGUUCUCGGGUCUUGUACUCACAUUACACAACGCGUCGGGCAGUUUGUCAAACAAGCAGGUUAAAAUCCUGCCAAACUUUACACAACCGUCAAAAGUAGUAGUGAACAGCCA
rnacentral:rRNA from 1 species